UACGUAGGGGGCAAGCGUUGUCCGGAAUCAUUGGGCGUAAAGAGCGUGUAGGCGGCCCGAUAAGUCCGCUGUGAAAGUCCAGGCUCAACCCUGGGAUGCCGGUGGAUACUGUCGGGCUCGAGUCCGGAAGAGGCGAGUGGGAAUUCCUGGUGUAGCGGUGAAAUGCGCAGAUAUCAGGAGGAACACCAAUGGCGAAGGCAGCUCGCUGGGACGUGACUGACGCUGAGACGCGAAAGCGUGGGGAGCAAACAGG
rnacentral:rRNA from 1 species